CAAUAGCGUAUAUUAAGGUUGUUGCAGUUAAAAAGCUCGUAGUUGGAUUUCUGGUAGGAGUGACCGUUCCGAACUUGAUUGUUCGUGUAUUGUGUUUUCUCCAGCCAUCCUUGUGGAGAACUCUUCUUGCAUUAAUUUGUAGGGAUUGGGACCCGCAUCGUUUACUGUGAAAAAAUUAGAGUGUUUAAAGCAGGCAAUCGCUUGAAUACAUUAGCACGGAAUAAUAAGAUAGGACUUUGGUACUAUUUUGUUGGUUUGCAUACCAAAUUAAUGAUCAACAGGAACAGUUUGAGGAUAUUCGUAUGAACAUGUCAGAGGUGAAAUUCUUGGAUUUUGAUCAGACGAACUACUGCGAAAGCAUUUAUCAAGGAUGUUUUCAUUAA
rnacentral:rRNA from 1 species